CAUACGGCUCAGUAACACGUGGCUAACCUACCCUUGAGACGGAGACAACCCCGGGAAACUGGGGCUAAUCCCAGAUAGAUGAGAACUCCUGGAACGGGUUCUCGUCCAAAAAGCGUCUAAGCCAUGCUUUUAGGCGUUGCUCAAGGAUGGGGCCGCGACCGAUCAGGCUGUUGGUGAGGUAACGGCUCACCAAACCUUUAACCGGUACGGGCCGUGGGAGCGGGAGCCCGGAGAUGGGAACUGAGACAAGGUCCCAGGCCCUACGGGGCGCAGCCGUUGCGAAAACUUGUCAAUGCACGAAAGUGUGAACAGGCUACCCCGAGUGCUGUCCGCUGAGGAUGGCUUUUCUCUGCUGUUAAAAGGCGGGGGAAUAAGGAGAGGGCAAGUCUGGUGUCAGCCGCCGCGGUAAUACCAGCUCUCCGAGUGGUAGGGAUGAUUAUUGGGCUUAAAGCGUCCGUAGCCUGCCUUUCAAGUCUCUCGUUAAAUCCGGCGAUUUAAUCGUUGGACUGCGGGAGAUACUGUUAGGCUAGGAGGCGGGAGAAGCCGACGGUAUUUCCGGGGUAGGGGUAAAAUCCUAUAAUCCCGGGAGGACCACCAGUGGCGUAGGCGGUCGGCUAGCACGCGCUCGACGGUGAGGGACGAAAGCUGGGGGAGCAAACC
rnacentral:rRNA from 1 species